rnacentral:misc_RNA from 1 species
GAUGAAGAACGUAGCGAAAUGCGAUAAGUAAUGUGAAUUGCAGAAUUCAGUGAAUCAUCGAAUCUUUGAACGCACAUUGCGCCCCUUGGUAUUCCGAGGGGCAUGCCUGUUCGAGCGUCAUUAUAACCCUCAAGCUCAGCUUGGUGUUGGGGCCUGCUGCACUGGCAGCCCUUAAAAUCAGUGGCGGCGCCAUCUGGCUCUAAGCGUAGUAAUUCUUCUCGCUAUGGAGUCCUGGUGGAUGCUUACCAUCAACCCCCAAUUUUUCUAUGGUUGACCUCGGAUCAGGUAGGGAUACCCGCUGAACUUAAGCAUAUCAAUAAGCGGAGGA